rnacentral:tRNA from 1 species
GGGGCUAUGGCUCAGUUGGUAGAGUGCUUACCUCGAAGGCACCAGGCCCUGGGUUCAAUUCCCAGCACCACCA